CGGGUUGUAAAGCUCUUUCAGUUGAGAAGAAAAAGUCGUGACUAAUAAUCAUGAUUCAUGACGGUAUCAACAGAAGAAGCACCGGCUAACUACGUGCCAGCAGCCGCGGUAAUACGUAGGGUGCAAGCGUUAAUCGGAAUUACUGGGCGUAAAGGGUGCGCAGGCGGUUCUGUAAGUCAGAUGUGAAAUCCCCGGGCUUAACCUGGGAACUGCGUUUGAAACUGCAGAGCUAGAGUGCAGCAGAGGGAGGUGGAAUUCCAUGUGUAGCAGUGAAAUGCGUAGAGAUAUGGAAGAACAUCGAUGGCGAAGGCAACCUCCUGGGCUAGCACUGACGCUCAUGCACGAAAGCGUGGGGAGCAAACAGGAUUAGAUACCCUGGUAGUCCACGCCCUAAACUAUGUCAACUAGUUGUCGGGUCUUAUUAGACUUGGUAACGUAGCUAACGCGUGAAGUUGACCGCCUGGGGAGUACGGUCGCAAGAUUAAAACUCAAAGGAAUUGACGGG
rnacentral:rRNA from 1 species